UCCUACGGGGGGCAGCAGUGAGGAAUAUUGGUCAAUGGGCGAGAGCCUGAACCAGCCAAGUCGCGUGAAGGAUGACGGCCCUACGGGUUGUAAACUUCUUUUGUCAGGGAGCAAAGGCGUCCACGAGUGGACGAAAGGAGAGUACCUGAAGAAAAAGCAUCGGCUAACUCCGUGCCAGCAGCCGCGGUAAUACGGAGGAUGCGAGCGUUAUCCGGAUUUAUUGGGUUUAAAGGGUGCGUAGGCGGAGUGUCAAGUCAGCGGUAAAAUUUCGGGGCUCAACCCCGUCGUGCCGUUGAAACUGACAC
rnacentral:rRNA from 1 species